rnacentral:tRNA from 1 species
GGCGCGUUGGUCCAGUGGAAUGGAUCCCGGAGUCUCAGUCCGGGGACGCGGGUUCGAUCCCCGCACGCGCUG